rnacentral:lncRNA from 1 species
CAAGACAUUAGGACUUGAAAUAAAUUUGCAAAAGUCACACUUUAUUACUUAUAGGAAUAUUCGUAGAAAGAAGAUAACCAAGUUUAAGAGUACCUUUGGCUUCCAUUACACCAGUGAUGUUGGAAAAUAUAUAUGUUUCCCUAUUAUCACUGGCAAAAUGAAGAAAGCCCAUUUUUCUUUCCUCUUGAACAACGUAAAUAGUCAUCUUGC